GAGAAGAACGUAGCGAAAUGCGAUAAGUAAUGUGAAUUGCAGAAUUCAGUGAAUCAUCGAAUCUUUGAACGCACAUUGCGCCCGCCAGUAUCCUGGCGGGCAUGCCUGUCUGAGCGCCAUUUCAACCCUCAUGCCCCUAGGGCGUGGUGUUGGGGAUCGGCCAAAGCCCGCGAGGGACGGCCGGCCCCUAAAUCUAGUGGCGGACCCGUCGUGGCCUCCUCUGCGAAGUAGUGAUAUUCCGCAUCGGAGAGCGAUGAGCCCCUGCCGUUAAACCCCCAACUUUCCAAGGUUGACCUCAGAUCAGGUAGGAAUACCCGCUGAACUUAAGCAUAUCAAUAAGCGGAGGA
rnacentral:misc_RNA from 1 species